rnacentral:lncRNA from 1 species
GUGAUGCUUAACAAAUUCCACCAAGGAAAAGUCAGUCAUUCUUACUACAUUCUAGGGCCCUUGGUAUCAGGAAGGUCUUGGAGAAGGAGAGCAGAACCCCAAGUCUGUGUGGCUCCUGACUGUUUGUUGGGCAGAGAAGCUUGAACUUUAUCCUGUGGGCUGCUGAGACCAG